rnacentral:rRNA from 1 species
AUGCUGAACACGACGGCGGCUAUGGUGAGCGGCGGCGGCGGCGUGCUGCCGCUGGCGUCCCUGAACCAUAUCAGCACAGUGUGCAGGUCUGUGGAGGAGUCGCUCGACUUCUACAUGAACGUCCUCGGGUUCACACCCAUCCGCCGCCCCGGCUCCUUCAACUUCGACGACGCAUGGCUGUUCAACUACGGCAUCGGUAUCCACCUGCUACUGUCGGAGCAUCCCGAGAGCUUACCGGCGAAGGAGGAGAUCAACCCCAAGGAUAACCACAUCUCUUUCCAGUGCGAGAGCAUGGUGGCGGUGGAGCGGCGGCUCAAGGAGCUGGGCAUCCCGUACAUACAGCGGUGCGUGGAGGAGGACGGCAUCUACGUGGACCAGAUCUUCUUCCACGACCCCGACGGCUUCAUGAUCGAGAUCUGCAACUGCGACAAGCUUCCGGUCGUCCCGCUGGCCGACCAGACCUUCGCCAUGGCCGCUUGCAAGAGGGCCGCCUCCGUCAAGCAACAGCAGCUGCCCAUGCCAGACUGCCAGUGGCGCAAGUAG